AGGACGAACGCUGGCGGCGUGCCUAAUGCAUGCAAGUCGCACGCAGAGAGCUUGCUCUCUGAGUGGCGCACGGCUGAGGAUCACGUGGGAACAUGCCUCCUUGUGGGGGACAACACCGCGAAAGCGGUGCUAAUCCCGCAUACGCUCGCGCAAGCGAGGAAAGCGGCAACGCGCAGGGAGAGUGGCCCGCGGCCCAUCAGGUCGUUGGUGGGGUAAUGGCCUACCAAGCCGGUGACGGGUAGCUGGUCUGUGAGGACAGACAGCCAGACUGGGACUGAGACACGGCCCAGACUCCUACGGGAGGCAGCAGCAAGGAAUUUUCGUCAAUGGGCGCAAGCCUGAACGAGCAACGCCGCGUGGAGGAUGACGGCCUUCGGGUUGUAACUCCGUUUUCGGGGACGAUAAUGACGGUACCCGGGAAUAAGGCUCGGCUAACUCUGUGCCAGCAGCCGC
rnacentral:rRNA from 1 species